GAUAACUCAAACCGAUAUAAUGAGGAUUAGGAUUAAGGGUGUUCCGUAUACCUUUCCGAAGUGCAAUCGGAAGAGACAAGUCCGCUGUAGGAGCAGGGCCAGGUGCAGGACGUGAAUCAACCGGGCGGGAUGCUGGGCGAGGACGACGAUUAUAUGUCAAGAGUGGAGUGUCUUGUGCAGGGAGUCUAGGAGGAGCCACA
rnacentral:lncRNA from 1 species